rnacentral:rRNA from 1 species
UACAGAGGUCUCAAGCGUUGUUCGGAAUCAUUGGGCGUAAAGGGUGCGUAGGUGGCGCUGUAAGUCGGGUGUGAAAUUUCGGAGCUUAACUCCGAAACUGCAUUCGAUACUGCGGUGCUUGAGGACUGGAGAGGAGACUGGAAUUCAUGGUGUAGCAGUGAAAUGCGUAGAGAUCAUGAGGAAGACCAGUGGCGAAGGCGGGUCUCUGGACAGUUCCUGACACUGAGGCACGAAGGCCAGGGGAGCAAACGGG